rnacentral:rRNA from 1 species
AACGUAGGUGGCAAGCGUUAUCCGGAUUUACUGGGCGUAAAGCGUGUGCAGGCGGAUGGACAAGUGAGCUAUGAAAUCCCCGGUGCUUAACAGCGGGAUGGUAGCUUAGACUGUACAACUGGAGGCUGAGAGAGGGAUGUGGAAUUCCGGGUGUAGUGGUGAAAUGCGUAGAGAUCCGGAGGAACACCAGAGGCGAAAGCGGCAUCCUGGCUCAGCACUGACGCUCAGACACGACAGCGUGGGGAGCGAACGGG